rnacentral:misc_RNA from 1 species
GGCGUCUGCCACUGUAUUAGCUUUGCCCGGUUUGUACUCAACUUUGAAAUCGAAUGGUAGUAGCUUACUCACCCAAUGUUGUUGGGGCGAGGAGAGUGAACGCUGUUCGAGCAAAAACUUUAAAGUAUAAUGAUCUGUACGCACCACAAAUUGCUUCCCCCAUAAAUAAGACUGCCAAUGUCGAAUUGCCUUGACCAGACCAAUUAAUUCUUUUUCGUACGCCGGAAGACUAAUGUGACGGACAGCCAUUGCUCGGCUAAAGAAGGCCACUGGCUUAUUGUUUUGAAGCAGUACGGCGCCG